UAGAAAAUAGAUAUGUUCAAUUUAACAUGGACAAAUGAAAAGAAAAGUGUUCAAACUAAUAUGAACAAACAAAAAAAAUAUUUAGACUAUAAUUAUGAAAUCACAACAAGAAUCCGCGCUUUUAGCGUCUGAAUUUACCGUCCGCCUCAAUCAGACGCAAAUUAGCGUCCGUUCUGGAAAAUUAGCGUCCGUAAUUGUGACGGACGCUAAUUAGCGUCCGUUUUUAGAAAAUUAGAAUCCGUUUUUUGAGCGGACGCUAAUUAGCGUCCGUUUUUCAAAAAUUAGCAUCCGUUUUCAGAACGGACGCUAAUUAGCGUCCGUUGUUCGAAAAUUAGCAUCCGUUUUUGGAACGGACGCUAAUUAGCGUCCGCUAUCUAAAAUUUAACAUCUGUCGGACGGACGCUAAUUAGCGGCCUAGCGAAGCUAAAUAAACUCAUAUAUCAGAAUCAAAGUCGACCCUCAUUCUUUGCCUCACCUGAUACUCUCUCACCUCCCUUAUACUCUCUCACCUCCCUUGUCCUCUCUCUCAUAUCUCUCCUCCAUCAGACAUCACAUAUCUCACCUUUCAUUCUCUAAUUCCUUUCAUUUUCUCUCUCUUUAUUCAUUCUACCCACCCAGAUUUUUCUCUCAUCUUUCUCUCACAUCUAUUUACUCUCGUUUCUCUCCUUCUCUUUUUUUCUCUAUUCUAGAUCUGGAAACACAACCGCCCCUGCUUUGUCCCCAUACUCCGCCGCUUCGUCCCCAGCCGCUUCGAUUUGAAGAUAGAAUAUCUUCAGGGUUUGUUCCUGAUUUAAAGUUGGAUUUCUUCAAGAUUGGAGUUGGAUUUGAGCUCCAGAUUAUGGAUUCUUGUACCUGCAAUAUUGAAGAUGGAGUGUAAUUUUUUAAGUUUGUUGUUUCAGAUUGUAUUAUUAUGGGAUAUUUUCCAAUAUAUUGUAUAAGUAUUUUUAUAUUUAAAUAAAAAUAUUUCAUUUCUCA